UUGUUAUGGUUAUUAAACUUCCAAUGCAAACAGUGCCUUUCACUAUAUAAAUCUUGCUGUUGUUUUAAUUCAUAUCAGAACCAGGAAGAUGGAAACCAAGGCUAUGUUGUUGCUACUCGUACUGACCUGUAUAAGCAUUGUGGAACAUAAAGGCAAUUCUUUCACGAUUUUGGUACUCGGUUGAAAAACAAGACAACGCCUGCAAGACACCAACAAACUUGUUUUUAGUGAUGACAUGUAUAAACGAAUGCAUAAUUGAUUAAAAAAUAGCGACCAAA